UGAGUUGCAACGGUCCUUGUAGUCUCAUCCUGCUUUCACAGCGAGCGCAGUUGGCAGCUGCAGGUCGCUCAGAACGAAACAUCGCAGGAUACACUUGUGUUGAGGUAGCCUAGUUGAGAUCCAAGGAGCCCGCGUGUUUUCGAUCAAGUUGGAAAAGAAACAAGAAGAAAAGGUUUCAAAGGAGAGACAUCCCUCUCCACCCCAUCUGUACCCAGCAGGACUGUGUGCCAGUGAUGCCUAGCUGUUGGAUCCUAGAGGCCCACCUUGGCAGUUGAAGGAGAGCUCCGCCCCCAUCACCAUGACAACAUCGCCGCGGGCCGCCGCCGCCCCCCCCCCUGCCUGUGCCCGGCCUGCUGCUCCUCCUCCUCCAACUCCUCCCCAUUGUGCUUACCCAGAAUCCCCUGCUCCCGUCGCCCCCGACGCCCGCGCCGCUCGCUCCCCUGUCCCCCCAGGUGCGUCCAGAGUGCAGCCGGAGAGAGCACCCCGUGGUCUCAGUUCAAGCUCUCAGUCCGUGGACGUGUCAUUUCUCCCACCCUGGAGUAAGAGACUACUCCCAGCUGACCCUUGACCUCACCAGGAAUGAGCUGAUAGUGGGCGCCAGAAACUACCUCUUCAGACUCGACCUCAACAACAUGUCACUGAUACAGGUAGGAAGCAG